rnacentral:rRNA from 1 species
GACGAACGCUGGCGGCGUGCUUAACACAUGCAAGUCGAACGGAAAGGCCCUGCUUUUGUGGGGUGCUCGAGUGGCGAACGGGUGAGUAACACGUGAGUAACCUGCCCUUGACUUUGGGAUAACUUCAGGAAACUGGGGCUAAUACCGGAUAGGAGCUCCUGCUGCAUGGUGGGGGUUGGAAAGUUUCGGCGGUUGGGGAUGGACUCGCGGCUUAUCAGCUUGUUGGUGGGGUAGUGGCUUACCAUGUCUUUGACGGGUAGCCGGCCUGAGAGGGUGACCGGCCACAUUGGGACUGAGAUACGGCCCAGACUCCUACGGGAGGCAGCAGUGGGGAAUAUUGCACAAUGGGCGGAAGCCUGAUGCAGCAACGCCGCGUGCGGGAUGACGGCCUUCGGGUUGUAAACCGCUUUCGCCUGUGACGAAGCGUGAGUGACGGUAAUGGGUAAAGAAGCACCGGCUAACUACGUG